rnacentral:misc_RNA from 1 species
AACGCACAUUGCGCCCGUUAGCAUUCUAGCGGGCAUGCCUGUCCGAGCGUCAUUUCAACCCUCAGGACCCCCCUUCGCGGGGUGGGACCUGGCGUUGGGGAUCGGCCCGCCCCCGUGCGGCGCCGUCCCCGAAAUCCAGUGGCGGUCUCGCUGCAGCCUCUCUUGCGUAGUAGUACAACCUCGCACUGGAGCGCAGCGUGGCCACGCCGUAAAACCCCCGACUUUCUGAACGUUGACCUCGGAUCAGGUAGGAAUACCCGCUGAACUUAA